rnacentral:rRNA from 1 species
CAGCCGCCCGGGAAUACGGAGGGUGCAAGCGUUAUCCGGAUUUAUUGGGUUUAAAGGGUCCGUAGGCGGAUCUGUAAGUCAGUGGUGAAAUCUCACAGCUUAACUGUGAAACUGCCAUUGAUACUGCAGGUCUUGAGUAAAUUUGAAGUGGCUGGAAUAAGUAGUGUAGCGGUGAAAUGCAUAGAUAUUACUUAGAACACCAAUUGCGAAGGCAGGUCACUAAGAUUUAACUGACGCUGAUGGACGAAAGCGUGGGGAGCGAACAGGAUUAGAUACCCCGGUAGUCCCUGUCUCUUAUACA